ACGGCCGAUCCUUGUUCCACCGACUUCCAAAAGGAAGCGGGGCCUUGCCGGUCGGCCCCGCUACCAGCAGUCAGGCUACGCUGGCCUCGACUGGCGCCCCUGAGCGGCUCGGACGAGCGGGCAGCCGCACGGUCGACGGCGCACGUCCACGGACCGCGCCGCGACGGUAGAUCCACGCCCACCUCACUUGGCUUUGCCCUCGCCGCCUCAGCGAUGAGCCGCUACUACUGGCCCUGUUGGAGACGCAGCCUAAGCUCUCAGAGUCCAGCGUUGGCCAGGCAGAAGUGAGACACGCGCCGUCGAGUGCUGGGCCCUCCCGUAGCUCAGGCCCGGACAGUCGGCGAAUGACGGUAGCGUUCGCCGGUGCUACUGGUGCAUCUUUGGUAGUGGCCACCGGUGCGUCAGCCCCGAGCUCUGCGCGCCGGUGAUGUCCGGGGCGCCGCCAGACAAGCCCGGGUCGUCGUCUGACAAGCCCGGGUCGUCGUCCGACAAACACGGUGGGUCGGACAGGCACGCGUCAUCGAGCAGGUCCGAUGACAAGUCCAAAGAGAAGGCGCUCGAGAAGACGACCGAAAGGUCCGUCGCCUCCACAGAGAGGUCAUCGAGCUCGCACCACCACCACCACAGGAGGCAUAGUCACUCGUCCCCCGGAAAAUCGUCGUCCAGGUCCUCGCCGUCGAAAAGCAGAGGGCGCCGCGAUCCCAUUCCCCUCGGAGCGGCGGCCUCCACCGACCCCU